CAAAUAAUGUAUUGCCAUCCGAUCAAAUUAAGGGUCCAGAUUCAUUUUCUCUAAUUUUCCACUUUCAUCCCAAAACACAGGAGGUUAUGGAAAAGGCAAAACCACCUUCAAUUUUUAAUAUGAAAAGGGAGGCUUUCAAUUUUUAAUACCCCGUGUUGUAGGCUGAAAGUGGAAAAUUAAAGAAGGUAAAUUAGGACCCUUGAUUUGAUCAGAUGGUUUUGUAUUGUUUA
rnacentral:pre_miRNA from 1 species